rnacentral:rRNA from 1 species
UACGAAGGGGGCUAGCGUUGCUCGGAAUUACUGGGCGUAAAGCGCACGUAGGCGGAUUGUUAGGUCGGGGGUGAAAUCCUGGAGCUCAACUCCAGAACUGCCUUCGAAACUGGCGAUCUUGAGUCCGGGAGAGGUGAGUGGAACUGCGAGUGUAGAGGUGAAAUUCGUAGAUAUUCGCAAGAACACCAGUGGCGAAGGCGGCUCACUGGCCCGGUACUGACGCUGAGGUGCGAAAGCGUGGGGAGCAAACAGG